GUGGCGCACGGGUGAGUAACGCGUGGGUAAUCUACCCCUCGGUCAGGAAUAACCCGCCGAAAGGCGGGCUAAUACCCGAUAAUACUGACGCUCUGCGGAGUGUCUUUCAAAGAAGAGCUCUGUUUACAAGCUUUCGCCGGAGGAUGAGCCCGCGUACCAUUAGCUAGUUGUGCAGGGUAAUGGCCUACCAAGGCAACGAUGGUUAGCUGGUCUGAGAGGAUGGCCAGACACUCUGGAACUGAGACACGGUCCAGACUCCUACGGGAGGCAGCCGUGAGGAAUCUUUGCGCAAUGGGGGAAACCCUGACGCAGCAACGCCGCGU
rnacentral:rRNA from 1 species